rnacentral:rRNA from 1 species
GAUGAACGCUAGCGGCAGGCUUAAUACAUGCAAGUCGAACGGGAUUGAGAAGCUUGCUUUUCAUGAGAGUGGCGCACGGGUGCGUAACACGUAUGCAACCUGCCUUGUCCAGGGGGAUAGCCCGUUGAAAGACGGAUUAAGACCGCAUAACAUCAUUGAAUGGCAUCGUUUAAUGAUCAAAUAUUUAUAGGGACAAGAUGGGCAUGCGUCUGAUUAGCUAGUUGGCGGGGUAAUGGCCCACCAAGGCGACGAUCAGUAGGGGGUCUGAGAGGAUGACCCCCCACACUGGUACUGAGACACGGACCAGACUACUACGGGAGGCAGCAGUGAGGAAUAUUGGUCAAUGGGCGCAAGCCUGAACCAGCCAUGCCGCGUGCAGGAAGACGGCCCUACGGGUUGUAAACUGCUUUUAUACGGGAAUAACCCCGGUUUCGUGAAACCGGCUGAAUGUACCGUAAGAAUAAGGAUCGGCUAACUCCGUGCCAGCCGCCGCGGUAA